rnacentral:rRNA from 1 species
AUUGAACGCUGGCGGCAUGCCUUACACAUGCAAGUCGAACGGUAACGCGGGGCAACCUGGCGACGAGUGGCGAACGGGUGAGUAAUGUAUCGGAACGUGCCAGCUGUGGGGGAUAACUGCUCGAAAGAGCAGCUAAUACCGCAUACGACCUGAGGGUGAAAGCGGGGGAUCGCAAGACCUCGCGCAAUUGGAGCGGCCGAUAUCAGAUUAGGUAGUUGGUGGGGUAAAGGCUCACCAAGCCAACGAUCUGUAGCUGGUCUGAGAGGACGACCAGCCACACUGGGACUGAGACACGGCCCAGACUCCUACGGGAGGCAGCAGUGGGGAAUUUUGGACAAUGGAGGCAAGUCUGAUCCAGCCGUGCCGCGUGCGGGAAGAAGGCCUUCGGGUUGUAAACCGCUUUUGUCAGGGAAGAAACGCUCUGGGUUAAUACCUCGGGGUAAUGACGGUACCUGAAGAAUAAGCACCGGCUAACUACGUGCCAGCAGCCGCGGUAAUAC